GUCAAUCCUCCCCGCCCUAAAGGGCGAAGCUUGUGCCCCAAGCUCGGUUGACCAGACCAUGCGCGAGCAAUCGCGCGACGUGUGAUGGAAGUGCGAAGACCCACCCGCAGAUGCUUCCUCAGUCCGCAGCUCUGGAAGAGAGGGAUGCAGACACGGCAAGGGAGCGCCACGAAACGGUCCCUCUCCCGGCGGGAAACCGCCGAAGCUGCCAUCGCACACGGUCGAGGGGAGCGGUCC
rfam:Tepidiphilus thermophilus strain JCM 19170 genome assembly, contig: Ga0061068_117